GAUGAAGAACGCAGCGAAAUGCGAUAAGUAAUGUGAAUUGCAGAAUUCAGUGAAUCAUCGAAUCUUUGAACGCACAUUGCGCCCGCCAGUAUUCUGGCGGGCAUGCCUGUUCGAGCGUCAUUACAACCCUCAGGCCCCCGGGCCUGGCGUUGGGGAUCGGCGGAGCCCCCCGUGGGCACACGCCGUCCCCCAAAUACAGUGGCGGUACCGCCGCAGCUUCCAUCGCGUAGUAGCUAACACCUCGCGACUGGAGAGCGGCGCGGCCACGCCGUAAAACACCCAACUCUUCUGAAGUUGACCUCGAAUCAGGUAGGAAUACCCGCUGAACUUAAGCAUAUCAAUAAGCGGAGGA
rnacentral:misc_RNA from 1 species